UGGGGAAUGGUGUAAUGGUAACACAGCGGUUUUUGGUACCGUCGUUCAAGGUUCGAGUCCUUGUUCCCCAGCCA
rnacentral:tRNA from 2 species